GGUGGACCCAAUGUAAUCACAAAUAUUCUUAAGUGUGGAGGAGGGAGGCAGAGUCAGAGAAGGACUGGUGACAAUGGAAAUAGAGGUUGGAAACAGUGAUGUACCUUAUAGAUGGAGGAAGGGGCCACGAGCCACGGAAGGCAGGAAGCCUCUAGAAGCUGGCAAAGGCAAAGAAAUGGGUCCUUCCCUGGAGCCUCCAGAAGGAAUGCAGCCCAGCUAAACCUUGAUUUUUAGCCCACUGAGACCCAUUUUGAACUUCUGAAUCCCUGAACUGCAGACCUCGUUUCAUUGACCUUCGCAGACACUGCGUUUUGUACAAGAUCCUCCACCAGUAAAAAAAAAAAGGGUUCGAGUUUGUACUGGCUUCCCUUGAUGGCAGAAGAGAGAUCUGAGGGUGCCUGGCCCCCAAGGGUAGGUAGGAGGCUCCCCACGCCUCCAGAGACCUGGCGCCCCAGGAGUCACUACCAUCCAUUCAACAAACCUGCCCUGAUGCUUCUCUGCGCCAUGACCCGGAGCUCAGCUGGAUGUGCCAGCCAUGAAGAGGACAAGUUCCCUGCCUGACUAUUCUAUCAGGAUUAGGGGAGAUUGACUUGGAGAUUAUGUUACCAUAUAUUGUCUCUUCUGAUAAGGAUUUGAAAAAGUUCUUAUGGGGGGGGUGGGGGACAACGACAUGGACAUUGCCUGGUGACUAGACCCGUGUGUUCCAAAUACAAGAGAGAGGUCUGGGCUGGAGAGAGAUUUUGGUUUCCUGACAUGGUUGUGAUAUUUAGCAAAUAAAAAUACAAGACGUCCAGUUAAAUUUGAAUUUCACAUAAACAACGAAUAACAACUUAGUAUAAGUAUGGCCCGUCAAUAUUUGGGGCAUACUUACACUAAAACAUUAUUCCUUGUUCCUCUGAAAUUCAAAUUAAAUUGGGGGUCCUGUGUUUCAUCUGGCGGGCAACCGGACUCGAUGGAGCCCCGGGGAUUGAACGCCCGGAGGCGAGGCCUGGCCAGAGACGAGGGUCCAUAGAGAUGAGAGCCCGGGGUUGGACGCCUGGCGAGUCUGGCGAGCCAGCUGCGCCGGACCUCC
ensembl:lncRNA